UCGAGAAUUUUUCUCAAUGGGCGAAAGCCUGAAGGAGCGACGCCGCGUGGAGGAUGAAGGCCUUCGGGUUGUAAACUCCUGUCAUUUGGGAACAAAAUACCGGUUUAACUGACCGGGACUUGAUAGUACCAGAAGAGGAAGAGACGGCUAACUCUGUGCCAGCAGCCGCGGUAAUACAGAGGUCUCAACCGUUGUUCGGAUUCAUUGGGCGUAAAGGGUGCGUAGGCGGUCGCGCAAGUCGGAUGUGAAAUCUCAGGGCUCAACCCUGAAACUGCAUUCGAUACUGCGUGGCUAGAGUGCUGGAGAGGAGACUGGAAUUUACGGUGUAGCAGUGAAAUGCGUAGAUAUCGUAAGGAAGACCAGUGGCGAAGGCGAGUCUCUGGACAGCAACUGACGCUGAGGCACGAAGGCCAGGGGAGCAAACG
rnacentral:rRNA from 1 species